GCGGGGGGGCGCGCCGGCCGCCUUCGGAGCCCCCCAACUCGCGUCCUGCAAAGGCCGCCGGGCCCUGUCGAGAAGACCCGACCGCAGAUGGCGGGGAGGAUGCUCCCGGCGGCGUGGGAACCGGGUCUGACUCCCGAGCCACCGCCGCUUCCGCAGGGGCGCCGGCCCCGGGAAAGUCAAGUCAUAAAUCCCUGAAUCUAAAACUCCAUUCUCAGAGAAAAGGCCUCCAAGGACGGGCGCCGUGCGCGGCAACUGCCUGCAGUUUUGAAGCCCUUUGACUAUUUCAUAACAAAGACAAGGCCGGGCGGCUUGGACGCUUAGGAAAAUCCUGGGGCUUUGCAAAAACAACAGGUUAAUCUAGUCGUGUGGGAUGAUCACCAAAACAAGACAGGAAAGAAGAACACCGUGUCAAUGCUGAAAAGCCAGCCCCUGUGAGCCCCAAAGUGCACGUUUUCCACAGUCCCAAGGAACACGUGACUGUGUGUUUCCACACUUGAGAAGUCAGGAUAAGACCCCUUGGAUAAUGGAACAGGGGAUGGGGGUGGGAGCAAGCACCCUACCUGGUCACCUGCUUAACUUAGAAACCAGCUUUUAAAACCUGUAACUGCAGUAUGAGCUACGAUCAAAUUUGUCUUAACGUAUUUUUUUUAAUGUUUUUAAUACCCAGAACACAGGGCUUCUACUCCAGGGUUUCCUCGCCAGGGAACCCCAAACACACAGGACCUGGAGAAGCCGGGUAGAGCUGGCUCCUGGCCCUGCGCUUGGGUGGUCGGCUGCCUUAAGAAGAACUGCACCCCAGAGACAGGCUCGCAGCUGCCGACCUUAUCCACUCGCCCUUUCUGCUGGAGCCCAGGCCCAGUGCUCCAGCAAGGAGGCUGAGAAAAUGCUGAAGACUGAUGCCCACGGGGGACAGCUUGGGCUAAGGAUAACGUUUGCAAAACAAACCUUUAAAAACCCAUAGCAACCUGUUUCCUAGAGCACACUCUUCAUCUCUCCACCCCCAAACUAGUCCCGACUCGGAUCCUCCUUUUCCUAUCCUCUUUCUCUUGCUCUCCCGUCUCCUAUUCACUUUUCUUCUCCUUUCCUCUUGAUUAUUAUAAACAAAUGCUUUCCAAGUCUUACCGCCAUCAUAUGUGUACAUAUGCAACCCUUACUGUUACCAAUUUGUUGAAGUCAAGACAGGAGGAGGCAAAGUUUAAAAAUCAGAAGUAUUGCAGGAAAUGAAAAUGGAGUGAGUGUUGCCUGGGUAUCAUAAUUUUUUUUUUUUUUUUAACAGUUCCUCUACUUGGCUCUCCUCCAAAGGUACGCGGCCACAGCAGGCAGGGGCUUGGCAGUGUGGGAGGAGACACCACAGAAGACAGGGAAGAACUACCAGGCCUUGGUUCAUCUCCACACUGGCGAGAGAGGACGUGCAGGGAAGUAUCGGCUGCCAGAUAGGGAGCUGAGACUUCAAGAAGCUAAAUAAGGUGUCCAACACCACAGAGCAUGGAGCAAAGGACACGGGACUGCAAAUCUUCCUAACUCGUGUGCUCAUCUGGCUAUCUCACCAGGGCCUUAAAUUUAAUAUAUCCCAAACUGAACUCAUCUUUACCCCUUCCCACUUUGCACUCCUCAAAUGUCCUUGUUUAAAAUAGUUACCUUUAUCUUUCCUAACCCAGAAACUCAAAACCUGGCAUCAUCUUUGACUUCUCUCUUUACCUUCACAUUCAACAGUUUCCAAGACUUAAAGGCUUUAUUUGUAGGAUCUCUACCACUGAUCCUCUACAGUUUCACACCUACAUCCCAUUCUCGUUCCCAAAUCCCCAUAACUCCUCUCCUGGCCCAUCCCUUAACACUGAAAUCCUGGCUUGGAAAAUAUGGUCACAUUCACAGCAGCUGUCCCCAAGAAGGAAGCCAAGGCAACAGUAUGCACAAUGAAGUGAGUCUUCACUGAUCUCUCCAUAUUUUGACAUUUUACAGCACUUAUUAUCUCUACUUUGUAUUUUGAAACUGAAUCCAAAAUAGUUUUGCAUUUGUUGUUUAACAGUCAUGUAUGUAGUUUUUUUUUUUUUUUCUUUUUUUUUGGAGACAGAGUCUGGCUCUGUCACCCAGGCUGGAGUGCAGUGGCGUGAUUUUGGCUCACUGCAACCUCCGCCUUCUGGGUUCAAGCAGUUCUCGUGCCUCCCUGAGCAGCUGGGAAUACAAGCAUACACCACCAUGCCCAGCUAAUUUAUUUUUAGUAGAGAUGGGAUUUCACCAUGUUGCCCAGGCUGAUCUUGAACUCCUGAGGUCAGGCAAUCUGCCCACCUCAGCCUCCCAAAGUGCUGGGAUUACAGGCAUCAGCCACCACACCCAGCCCCUCCAUGUGUGUAGAUAUUUAUCCACAUCCAAAAAUUAGGAAAAGCAGGACGCAUUGAACCUUUGGUACCCAGCAGCAGGAGCCUGUGGGUCUUCUGUCUGGAGCACAAUCACAAGGACCGAGCAUCAGCAGCAUCCACUGUCCUUUCAGCUCCAAAUUUUAAACUCCCGUAAGAGAGACAUUAUUGGCCCAGCUUGGGUCGUGUGUCCACCCCUUUAAUCAAUCAGCUUUGGCCAAGCAGCAGGUCAUCCUGGUCCAAACAUCACAGUUGGGGGCCUCACUUGUAAAUAGAGCUUGUUCCCAAAAAAGAGGGAGGCACACACCAUUCAUUUGUUUAUUCAUUCAUUCAAUCAGCAAAUAGUUGAGCAUCUAUAGAAAUAUAUUUAAGGUUCUAUUAUGUACACAAAAUGUAUAAAACAUGGCCCUGCCCUCACACCAUGAAAGUUACCACAUAAAAAGAAGUCACCAGAUAAAAAAAGCAUAACAGUAUUCAUAAGUACUCAUGAGUGACCAUCAAUUCAGUUACACAUGAUGGAAGAUAAUUCAUUAUACCUAGUAUAAGCCAGUGACGGUAAAAAUAGUUAGCAGCAAUGUGUACAUGAUCAACAAAAGCUCACAGCAGCACCAUUUACACAAAAACAGAAAAGUACCCAGAUGUCCAUCAGAGGUAGACCAGAUAAAAUAUAAAAUAUACCACCACACAAUGGCUAACACCUGUAAUCCCAGCACUUUGGGAGGCUGAGGCCGGCAGAUCACUUGAGGUCAGGAGUUUGAGACCAGCCUGAUCAACAUGGUGAAACCCCGUCUCUACUAAAAAUACAAAAAUUAACCAGUUGUCAUGGCAUGUGCCUGUAAUCCCAGCUACUCAGGAGGCCGAGGCAAGAGAAUCGCUUGAACCUGGGAGGCCAAGGUUGCAGUGAGCCGAGAUCACACCACUGCACUCCAGCCUGGGUAAAAAAGCGAGAUUCCAUCUCGAAAAAAAAAAAGUGUAUAUGUAUAGUGUAUGCAUGCACAGAAUACUUUACAGCAAUAAGAAUGAGUGUUCUGCAAAUAUACACAAUAUUGCUGACUCUCCCAAUGUUAAACAAAAGCAUCCAGACACACAACAAUGUGUACAGUAUAUGAUUCCAUUGAUAGAAAGCUUAAAAACAGGCAAAAUUAAUUCACCCUUAUGGAGUCUUAAGUAAGGGGAACAAAAGGGGCCAUCUGGGCAGUGAUAAUGCUGUUUCUUGAGCUGGGUGCUGGGUUCACAGGUGUGUUCAGUUUGUCACAUUCAUCAAGCUUACACUUCUCAUACAUCUUCUUUUCUAUAUGUAUGUCAUCCUUC
rnacentral:lncRNA from 1 species